AAUGAACGUUGGCGGCGUGGAUUAGGCAUGCAAGUCGUGCGGCAGCAGGCCCCGCAAGGGGUGCUGGCGAGCGGCGAAAGGGAUAGUAAUGUGUGGAUACCUGCCCUGGGGACGGGGAUAGCUGCUGGAAACGGCAAUUAAUACCCGAUGAUGUCUCCGGACCAAAGGUGUAAUUCCGCCCUAGGAGGGGUCCACAUCCUAUUAGCUAGUUGGUGAGGUAACGGCUCACCAAGGCCACGAUGGGUAGCGGGUGUGAGAGCACGACCCGCAUCACUGGGACUGAGACACUGCCCAGACACCUACGGGUGGCUGCAGUCGAGGAUCUUCGGCAAUGAGCGAAAGCUUGACCGAGCGGCGCCGCGUGCGGGAUGAAGGCCUUCGGGUUGUAAACCGCUUUCGGAGGGGAGGAAAUCUAGGGGGGAUCACCCUUCUAGUUGACCUAUCCUAGGAAGAAGGACGGGCUAAGUUCGUGCCAGCAGCCGCAGUAACAC
rnacentral:rRNA from 1 species